GUUGGAUACGGUGACUAUGUUCCGUCAACAACGAUUGGCUAUUUAGUGGGUGUCGUCUGCGCUGUAUGUGGAUUGUUGCUAUUAGCAAUGCCAAUUGCGAUCAUUGCAUCGAAU
rnacentral:sRNA from 1 species